UGCAUGCGUUAUGAGCGAUCGACU
rnacentral:siRNA from 1 species